GCCGGGCGCGGUGGCUCACGCCUGUAAUCCCAACAGUUUGGGAGGCCGAGGUGGGUGGAUCACCUGAGGUCAGGAGUUCGAGACCAGCCUGACCAACAUGGUGAAACCCCGUCUCUA
rnacentral:sRNA from 1 species